GGUGGCUUAGGGGUAGAGUGCUUGCCUUGCAUGCAGGAGGCCCUGGGUUCAAUUCCUCAGCACCA
rnacentral:tRNA from 1 species